rnacentral:rRNA from 1 species
UACGGAGGGUGCAAACGUUGCUCGGAAUCAUUGGGCGUAAAGCGCACGUAGGCGGCUCGUUAAGUCGGAUGUGAAAGCCCUCGGCUCAACCGAGGAAGUGCAUACGAAACUGGCGAGCUUGAAUAUGGAAGAGGGUCGCGGAAUUCCCGGUGUAGAGGUGAAAUUCGUAGAUAUUAGGAAGAACACCGGUGGCGAAGGCGGCCCACCGGAUCGGUACUGACGCUGAGGUGCGAAAGCGUGGGGAGCAAACAGG